CCGGAAAGGGCGUGUUACUGCAGCCUUUUUCGCGAAAGCAGGUUAGCAGGACUACUAACGUUAGGACUAUCGUGUCAGACAGAGCCGUGAUAGAACUUGUUCUGAAUUAUGGACGAGAGCCUGGUCAUGAUUUUCCAUUCCUUCCGAGAUAUCCUCCAGUCAGUGCGAGAUCCUUGCAGAUACCAUUGGAUGAUCUGGCUGAAUUUGAAGAUAGAGCUGUGUCUCGUCAGCAUUAACAAUGAUAAGAGAAGCCUCUUGACUGGAUAAUGGUUCCUAGCGAUGUAGUGUAAAUUGAAAACAGAAGUAGACCAGAAACUGAUCCCUGAGGGGGUACCCCUUUACCCAGCUGAGCAGAUGAGCUACAGUCACAGAA